rnacentral:rRNA from 1 species
UACGGAGGGUGCGAGCGUUAUCCGGAUUCACUGGGUUUAAAGGGUGCGUAGGUGGGAAUGUAAGUCAGUGGUGAAAUCUCUGAGCUUAACUCAGAAACUGCCAUUGAUACUAUGUUUCUUGAAUUUUCUGGAGGUCAGCGGAAUAUGUCAUGUAGCGGUGAAAUGCUUAGAUAUGACAUAGAACACCAAUUGCGAAGGCAGCUGGCUACAGGGAUAUUGACACUGAGGCACGAAAGCGUGGGGAGCAAACAGG